GGGGAAUAAUCGCUGGAAACGGCGUCUAAUGCCCCAUGGUGAUGUCCUCAGGCAUCUGAGGUCAUCUAAAGAUCCGUCGGAUGGGGAUAGGCUCGCGUGACAUUAGCUAGACGGCGGGGUAACGGCCCACCGUGGCGACGAUGUCUAGGGGUUCUGAGAGGAAGGUCCCCCACACUGGAACUGAGACACGGUCCAGACUCCUACGGGAGGCAGCAGUGAGGAAUAUUGGUCAAUGGCCGGAAGGCUGAACCAGCCAUGCCGCGUGAAGGUCAGUGCCCUAUGGGCGUUAAACUUCUUUUGUGCGGGAGCAAUAAUGGUCACGUGUGGCCAGACGAGAGUACCGUACGAAUAAGCAUCGGCUAACUCCGUGCCAGCAGCCGCGGUAAUACGGGGGAUGCAAGCGUUAUCCGGAUUUAUUGGGUUUAAAGGGUGCGUAGGCUGUGAGGUAAGUCAGCGGUGAAAUGCCCCCGCUCAACGGGGUGAAGUGCCAUUGAUACUGCCUUGCUGGAAUGCGGAUGCCGUGGGAGGAAUGUGUGGUGUAGCGGUGAAAUGCAUAGAUAUCACACAGAACACCGAUUGCGAAGGCAUCUCACGAAUCCGCGAUUGACGCUGAUGCACGAAAGCGUGGGUAUCAAACAGGAUUAGAUACCCUGGUAGUCCACGCUGUAAAC
rnacentral:rRNA from 1 species